rnacentral:rRNA from 1 species
UACAGAGGCCCCAAGCGUUACUGAGAAUCACUGGGUUUAAAGGGUGCGUAGGUGGCGCGUUAAGUCCGUUGUGAAAUCCCUGGGCUCAACCCAGGAAUUGCUUCGGAUACUGGCGUGCUUGAGGCUAGUAGGGGUCACUGGAACUGACGGUGGAGCGGUGAAAUGCGUAGAUAUCGUCAAGAACACCGAUAGUGAAGACAGCUAACUAGCUUAACUGACGCUGAGGCACGAAAGUGUGGGGAUCAAAACAGG